AUUAUACUCCCUCCGUCCUAAAUAGGAUGUCUGAAAUUUGUUUAAAUUUGGAUGUUUGUAGACACUAAAACAUGUUUAGAUACAUCCAUAUUUCGAAAAAUUUGCGACAUCCUUUUUAGGAUGGAGUAUAUAUUUU
rfam:Brachypodium distachyon strain Bd21 chromosome 1, whole genome shotgun sequence.